rnacentral:rRNA from 1 species
AAACUUAAAGGAAUUGACGGGGGCCCGCACAAGCGGUGGAGCAUGUGGUCUAAUUCGAAGCAACGCGAAAGAACCUUACCAGGUCUUGACAUCCCGAUGCUAUUUCUAGAGAUAGAAAGUUACUUCGGUACAUCGGUGACAGGUGGUGCAUGGUUGUCGUCAGCUCGUGUCGUGAGAUGUUGGGUUAAGUCCCGCAACGAGCGCAACCCUUGUCAUUAAUUGCCAUCAUUCAGUUGGGCACUUUAAUGAGACUGCCGGUGACAAACCGGAGGAAGGUGGGGAUGACGUCAAGUCCUCAUGGCCCUUAUGGGUAGGGCUUCACACGUAAUACAAUGGUCGGUACAGAGGGUUGCCAACCCGCGAGGGGGAGCUAAUCCCAGAAAACCGAUCGUAGUCCGGAUUGCAGUCUGCAACUCGACUGCAUGAAGUCGGAAUCGCUAGUAAUCGCGGAUCAGCAUGUCGCGGUCGAAUACGUUCCCGGGCCUU